GUUUUUUGUCCAGGUAUUUUAUCAUAGCAACAGGAAAAAACUAAUACAGUCCUGAAGGACACUGCCCCCCAAGUGGCCUCCUUUCUGCAGCUAAGCUCCACUUCCUACUUCCUCACCACCCACCAGUGUGACUCAUCCAUGCUUGCAAUGACUCAGCAGGCUACAGCUGAUCAGAUGCUCAAGCCACGCCCAGUGUCACUCUCUCUUCCUGCUGCCUGCCGAUUCGGAUGUAGAAAUCUCCAUCCUUCUCUAGCACCACGUCUGCCUGCAAGCACCAUACUUCCUGCCAUGGUGAUGAUGAUGGACUAAACCUCUGAACAUGUAAUCACAAAAGACUGAGAUUGGAGCCCAGCUACAUGGAAAAGACACGGUUACUGUAGGAGAAACUGCGGCCAGCCUACCCGCGCUUCAGGUGCCCAGGCCAGGUGCCCAGGCCAGCUCUCAUGAACAUUUGAGGCAGGCACUUCCUCCCUGAGACAAGCCUGCCUCUUAAGCCCAGAGACUGCUGACGAAGAGACCCCUGACCAGAGACACCAAUGAGGAAUGGACAACACAGCGGAGUCAGCCGCCUGAGCCAAUAGGAUCUUGGGAAGGGGUAAAAGGCAGGACUAACUUCCUUGAUAAAUGAGUCUGCAGCACUCUCUGCUACUCACUGACUCCCAGUGCCUGAGUCUUUGGUGCUGCAUCUUCUCACCCCGCCUCCCGAAACAAGUUACCACCUGCAUUAGGAUAAAAAUCAAGAAAACUUCCUGUCCUGGUGUGCUUGCUCUCCUGCUUCCUGGAGGAGUUCACCCUCUUGACCGAG
rnacentral:lncRNA from 1 species